GAGUUUAAAAGCCUAAGUAGGGUUGCCUUGUUAGAAGAUACAAAGCAAAAGACUCAUACGGAGUUUAGCUACACCAUCAAUGCUUUGAGAAGCAAGAAGAAGCUUGGUUAGUGUUUUGGAGUCAAAUAUGACUAGAUGUCAUGUGUAUGAGUGAGUAUAACAACUAAAACCGCAACCGAAUCUUAAAAGCCUAAGUAUUGUAUCCUGGUUAGAAGAUAUAAAGACAAAUACUCAUACGGACUUCGGCUACACCAUCAAAGUUUUGAGAAGCAAGAAGAAGCUUGUUAGUGUUUUGGAGUCGAAUAUGACUUGAUAUCAUGUGUAUGAUUGACUAAAAGAACUUAAACCGCAUCUAGAGCUUAAAUGGCCUAAGUAGUGUUUCCUUGUUUGACGACACAAAGCCAAAGACUCGUACGGAGUUUAGCUACACCAUCAC
rnacentral:sRNA from 1 species